rnacentral:rRNA from 1 species
AUUGAACGCUGGCGGCAGGCUUAACACAUGCAAGUCGAGCGAGCGUCGGACGGGUGAGUAAUGUCUGGGAAACUGCCUGCUGGAGGGGGAUAACUACUGGAAACCGUAGCUAAUACCGCCUACCAUCCGCUGUGCCCAGCUGGGAUUAGCUAGUAGGUGGGGUAAUGGCUAACCUAGGCGACGAUCCCUAGCUGGUCUGAGAGGAUGACCAGCAACACUGGAACUGAGACACGGUCCAGAAGCCGACGGUAGGCAGCGGGGGGGAAUAUUGCACAAUGGGCGCAAGCCGGAUGCAGCCAUGCUGCGUGUGUGAAGAAGGCCGGCGGGUUGUAAAGCACUUUCAGCGGGGAGGCGUUACUCGCAGAAGAAGCACCGGCUAACUCCGUGCCAGCAGCCGCGGUAAUAC